GUCAGAGUUUGAUCCUGGCUCAGGAUGAACGCUAGCGGCAGGCUUAACACAUGCAAGUCGAGGGGUAUAGUUCUUCGGAGCUAGAGACCGGCGCACGGGUGCGUAACGCGUAUGCAAUCUACCUUUUACAGAGGGAUAGCCCCAGAGAAAUUUGGAUUAAUACCUCAUAGUAUGUGAGAAUCGCAUGGUUUUCACAUUAAAGUUCCAACGGUAUAAGAUGAGCAUGCGUCCCAUUAGCUAGAUGGUAA
rnacentral:rRNA from 1 species